rnacentral:rRNA from 1 species
AACGGCCUACCAAGACUAUGACGGGUAGGGGACCUGAGAGGGUGGCCCCCCACAAUGGAACUAAAACACGGUCCAUACACCUACGGGUGGCAGCAGUAGGGAAUAUUAGAAAUGGACGAAAGUCUGAUCUAGCAACACCGCGUGUGCGAAGAAGGCCUUCGGGUCGUAAAGCACUUUUUGGAAGGAAUAGGAAGGAAUGUACUUCCAGAAUAAGUCUCGGCUAACUACGUGCCAGCAGCCGCGGUAACACGUAGGAGGCGAACGUUAUCCGGAUUUACUGGGCGUAAAGCGCGUGUAGGUGGUUCUGUAAGUAGGGCGUGAAAGCUCCUGGCUCAACUGGGAGAGGCCGUUCUAAACUACAGAACUAGAGGGUGGUAGAGGGAGGUGGAAUUCCAGGUGUAGCGGUGGAAUGCGCAGAUAUCUGGAGGAACACCAGUGGCGAAGGCGGCCUCCUGGACCAUUCCUGACACUCAGACGCGAAAGCUAGGGUAGCAAACGGGAUUAGAGACCCCGGUAGUCCUAGCCCUAAACGUUGAGAACUAGGCGUCGGAAGUUUAAUCACUUUCGGUGUCCAAGCUAACGCGAUAA